UGUGGCCCUUAUCGAAGCUGCAGCCGCUUCCACAUAGCUGCUGUGGUCAAAGAGGAGCCUAAAGGAACAGUUUUCCUUGACGGUCGCCGUUCUGUUUGCUGUAACAGAUUGACAACAUUUCAGGAAAAUACAGUU
rnacentral:snoRNA from 1 species